ensembl:lncRNA
UGUGAAUGGAAGGUCUCUCAGCAAACAUCUCAGCAGAGAGAGGCAAACAAAGGAUCUACUCGUGGUACAACCAAAGAAGCCACUGGUUUUCAACCUAAUGAACCAACCAGUCAACAAACAAACAAGGAAAAAUACAAAUUAAGCUGUGUUGGAAAGAGUUGUCCCGUGCGUCUUUUGAGGUUCAUGUACCAGGCCAUUUCAAGUUGGGCCAGAGUUGGAACAAAAAACCUAGGAACUUGACACUCAGGGGCCUUCUCUACCACGACAUCUUCCUUGUCCUGUCCUUGCUGAGGUUGUUGGUGGCGGCCUCCUCGAUCCAUGCUUGGUAUCAACUUCAAUCUAUUGACCUCUUUUAUAGCCACCAACCACAUGCUGUGAGACGCUACCGGCAUCGUGAUCAACGUCGAUGCAGCCACCAACCACAUGCUGCGAGACGCUACCAGCAUCGCGAUCAACGUCGGAGUUCUCUUCGUCACCGGAGUUCUCCUGGGGUGGGGCAUUCACUUCAACUUCUUCCACUGUGCAGAGUUAUGUUGUGUAGAGGUUGGAUUAGAUUUUUUUGUGCGGGUCCUGUUAAGAAGGACGCUUUGCUGCUCUGGACUAGUUUCAUUUUGCCCUCGUUUUACAGUAUUUAGCUGGCUAUGCUAAAAAUGUAAUAUUGUUAUGUAUACAAUGUAUUUAUGUGCAUGGGGACGUUCGCGAAAUUCAUCCAGCUGAGGUAGGGAUGUCAGCACCAGAGGGGGGGUAAAUCCACCCAACAAAUCGCACCGUGUAUAUAUAAAGAAAGAUCGAAAAAGGCAGCGAUACUGGCACAGCGGCCACACGCAGCAGUCGCUCUCAGGCUCCGCCCACACACUCAGUCCAUGCGAGAGAGAAUUUUUACACAUUAUUCAAAACAAAAGGAAACAAUAC